AUUGAACGCUGGCGGCAGGCCUAACACAUGCAAGUCGAACGAGUGGCGGACGGGUGAGUAAUGUCUGGGAAACUGCCUGAUGGAGGGGGAUAACUACUGGAAACGGUAGCUAAUACCGCAUACCAUCAGAUGUGCCCAGAUGGGAUUAGCUAGUUGGUGGGGUAACGGCUCACCAAGGCGACGAUCCCUAGCUGGGCUGAGAGGGUGACCAGCCACACUGGAACGGAGACACGGUCCAGACUCCUACGGGAGGCAGCAGUGGGGAAUAUUGCACAAUGGGCGAAAGCCUGAUGCAGCCAUGCCGCGUGUGUGAAGAAGGUCUUCGGGUUGUAAAGCACUUUCGGCGGGGAGGCGGUACCCGCAGAAGAAGCAACGGCUAACUCCGUGCCAGCAGCCGCGGUAAUAC
rnacentral:rRNA from 1 species